rnacentral:rRNA from 1 species
UACGGAGGGAGCUAGCGUUGUUCGGAUAUACUGGGCGUAAAGCGCACGUAGGCGGCGCGGUAAGUCAGGGGUGAAAUCCCGGAGCUCAACUCCGGAACUGCCCUUGAAACUGCAGUGCUAGAAUCCUGGAGAGGCGAGUGGAAUUCCGAGUGUAGAGGUGAAAUUCGUAGAUAUUCGGAAGAACACCAGUGGCGAAGGCGACUCGCUGGACAGGUAUUGACGCUGAGGUGCGAAAGCGUGGGGAGCAAACAGG